GGCUGUAGCUCAGUGGUAGAGUGCCCGCCUUGCACACGUGAGGCACUGGGUUCGUUCCUCAGCACCA
rnacentral:tRNA from 1 species